AAUAGCGGCCUCAUUUGACGUUAGCUGCAGAAGAAGCUACCGGCUAACUCCGUGCCAGCAGCCGCGGUAAUACGGAGGGUGCGAGCGUUAAUCGGAAUUACUGGGCGUAAAGCGCAUGCAGGUGGUUUGUUAAGUCAGAUGUGAAAGCCCGGGGUCUCAACCUCGGAAUUGCAUUUGAAACUGGACAGACGUAGAGUACUGUAGAGGGGGUAGAAUUUCAGGUGUAGCGGUGAAAUGCGUAGAGAUCUGAAGGAAUACCGGUGGCGAAGGCGGCCCCCUGGACAGAUACUGACACUCAGAUGCGAAAGCGUGGGGAGCAAACAGGAUUAGAUACCCUGGUAG
rnacentral:rRNA from 1 species